UGAAUGCUUAGUCAUCUGGGAGUGGCACUUCAUGGGACAGAUUAGGAGGUGUGACCUUGUUGGAGGAAGUCUGUCACUAGAGUGGGCUUUGAGGUUCAAAAGCUCAAGCCAGGCCUAGUUUCUCUCCUGUUGCCUGUGGAUCUGGGUGCAGAACUCUCAGCUACUUAUGCAGUGCCAUGUCUGCUUGCAUGCUGCCAAGCUCUCUACCCUGAUGAUUAUGGACUAAAACUUCAACAGCCUCUGAAACUGUACCCUCAACAGGGAAGCCUUUGUGAAAUGUACAUUGGCUGGUCUUCACUACAGACAAGACUGAAAGAUAGCAACGACAACAACAUAAAAACAAACAAACAAACAAAAAACUAGGAUACUUUGUGCUGGUUGCCAAAAGACUGCUAUUUCUUAUGUGUAUCUUGAAUAGUUUUCAAUUCUCCAAAUUAUUACACAUGACGACAAGCAAAAAUUGUAAUGCUAUUUAAUGUGGUUCCCAGUCCAUGUGGUUACUGCAAACAAUCUCAUUACAGAAGAGCGAUGCUAGAGAAGAGUAAAUGCUUAUGAAGACUCUACUCUGUGUAAACGUGACAGAUGUGACGUAAGUAGACAGCUGUAAAUUUGAAAUGCACAAUGCAGUACACAAGCAAGCACAGAAAUGCUUUACAAUGAUACGCUCCAAAUUCAAACCUCAGUCUAAAAAUGUUCACACAAAUCAUGGAAGGCAAGAAGUGGGCUGGCUAGAAAGCCCUUCUGUCCUCAGUCAGUCAGCAGAGUUCAAUGGGCACCCCAGUUACCUCAGAGAAACUGAGAAAACUGAAAUAACUUUUAAAAGCAUAAAAAAAUUCAGGCAACAUCUGAACCACAGUUCAAGAAAUUAGACUGCAUGAUAAAUUUCAAUGAAGUAAUUGUCCAUUAAGAUAAAAAUCCAAAUAUGACCUAGAAAUACAUAGCAGUCAAAAUGUCUGGCAUACAAUCACCUAUCACACUGAGAGCCCAGAGAGUCACAAUGUGAUAAGAAAAGAAAACUGUCUGAUGCCAGUAUCAAGAUGAAUCCCAGGCUCAAAUAAAUUGACAGAGUUUUUAAUGCAAGUAUUAUAAAAAUGUUUUCAGCAAAACUGAAUGUCUUCCUGAGACAUACAUAAGUUAUUCUCAGCUAAGAAACAGAGGUUACAAAGAAAAAAAUGAAAAUUAAAGAAAUCAAAAAUACAAUACAAGACUUAUAGGCUUACUGACUAGGCUCAGAAGCUGGGGAAAGAACAUAAGGUCAAGUGGAUGGCAUGCAGAAAUGAAGAGAACUUGAGGGACAAAAACAAAACUCAUUCUUAGAGAAGAGUAAGAAAAGAAAGAUGAGAGGAAUUUAAAAUUAUUUAAAGAAAUAAAAGGUGAAAACAUCCAAAUUUUAUGAAAGGCCUAUUGCUACAGAUCAAGGAGUUAAGUGACCCUGGAAGAAGAAAACUGAAAAGAAACUCACAUGAAGACACAUUAUAAUUAUACUCUUGAAAAACACAGAUAAAAAGAAACUCUUGAAGUCAGCCAGAAAGUAAUCACACACUCCCAACUGAGGAACCCGGUUGAUACAAAAGCAGAUUUUUCAUCAGAAGCCAGGAGGCACAAGGAGCAGCCUGGGUCUUCUCAAGUGCCUAAGAGACUAACUUGCCACCAUGAUUUCCGUAACUGGUGGAAGAGUCUUUCAGGACUGAGGAGCAAAUAAAAAUACUCUAGAAAAGACGUGCUUGUUGUCAGAUUCAGACCAACCCUGGCUUAAGGAAGACAUGAAGAAGUAAGCAGAAACAAGGUUCCAGGAAAAGGUUGUCACUGUGAGGGAAGAGGGACAGGAAGAGCAGAAUGCAUCUGUUACUGUCUCCUUCCUUCUCCCAGAUCUUAAAGUAUGAAAACUCAGCUAUCACUGAUUUAAUUUUUGCACAGUACCAUUCUAAAAUGAUGAAAACUAAUUAAAAUCAUUCCUACUUCA